rnacentral:misc_RNA from 1 species
GCAGGCUCAAAGCAAGAUCAUGGUCAUGGCCUUGAUCGCAGCUGCAGCCUUGGUUUUGCAUACAUUUUUUAGCUGGCUUUUGAUGCUAGAUUUGGGAUGGGGAUUGGUUGGAGCAGCGGUGGUGUUAAAUGCUUCUUGGUGGUUCAUUGAAUUGGCUCAGUUUUUAUAUAUUAUUAGUGGAACUUGUGGGCGAGCUUGGAAUGGAUUUUCAUGCAAGGCCUUCCAAAACUUGUGGGGUUUUGUUCGCUUGUCUCU